CUAAUAAGAACAAACCAAUACCAAAUAAAACUGAAUAAAAACAAUAAUAAGAAUCCUCCUUCUCUUCCUCUUACCUUAAGGGUAAAUACCAUUUUAUUUGUUUUUAUAAUUCUUAUUUUCUUUCUAAAUGCACUUUUCCUGUUUUAAAACCCUUAAAAAAACGGUUUUAGGGUAUUUCUUGGGCUGGAACGGAUUAAUUAUAUUUCAAUUCUUUUCAAUUUGGGAACAUUAAUUUGCAAAACAAGCACGGUCAAAUUAAACUGGUCAUGUGAGGUUCCACUGUAUUUCAGUUUGUAAUAAACACCAACAGGAGACGGGGAGUUUACGUCACUUUAGUCGUCACUAGAAAAGAGAAUCUGUUUAUUUUGCAGCAGUUUUUUUCUUUCCUUUUGCUCUUGUGGAUUUGAGGAUCACGUCUCUUUCGACCGGUUUGUAAAAUAACGUGGCGUCGACUUUAGCAGAACUCACACGCAUGUUGAUAAUAAUCACAGUCGAUUCCUCCAACACACAGCACUUGUUUCACUUGGAAAUGGAGAUUUUUAUGGAAAGUACCUGUGAAAGACAGCUGGGGGCAGUAGAAGUUCACUGUUCCUCCACCACAGAUGUCAUGUCGUACAAACUGUCUGAAUACUUCACAUGUAAGAAAACGAGCCAUUUGUCAGAGUUACAGGACGAUGUAUGGCAGGACUUCAGAUCGACUUCACGGUUUGAAGUAAGAAAACAACCCAGUGAUUAUUCAAAUGGCAUUUCAUGUUUGUUAUUUUUCACUUUACGAAGCAAUUUCUGUCAUAAAAAAAACCAUAUAUAAUUAUGUUAAUGCAUUUUACAUGUAACAUUUUACUGUCCUGUACUCCAGAAAGUUUAUAAAAGUGUAUUUUAACUAUGUAUAUGCCAGAUGGUUUGAGCAGAGGGUGUGUUUUUUUUUUUUGGUCAGUUUUGAAGUCAGAUUAGUCAACAUGAACCAUGUAACCAUAGAAAUGCAUGGAUAUACAGACAGAUAUUUGGCUUUUGCUGUGAACGUUUGCAGAGAGACGACAAAAAAAAAAGGACUGUCGAGAGGAAAAAGUUGCGCUUCAGUCCACAUUUUAUUUAGGAAUGUAAAAGACAAUUCCUUCUGCUCAAAAUAAGAGAAAAGAAAUAUAUAUUUUUCAAAAAAUAAGACGAAAGUAUGACUUAUGGAAGGUAAAGUAUCCAUAAAUACACAAUGAAAAAAUAAAUAAAAUCAAUGUUUGCUGUG